rnacentral:rRNA from 1 species
AGUCGAGCGCCCUUCGGGUGAGCGGCGGACGGGUUAGUAACGCGUGGGAACGUACCCUUUUCUACGGAAUAGCCUUUGGAAACGAAGAGUAAUACCGUAUACGCCCUUUGGGGGAAAGACUUAUCGGAGAAGGAUCGGCCCGCGUUAGAUUAGAUAGUUGGUGGGGUAACGGCCUACCAAGUCUACGAUCUAUAGCUGGUUUUAGAGGACGAUCAGCAACACUGGGACUGAGACACGGCCCAGACUCCUACGGGAGGCAGCAGUGGGGAAUCUUAGACAAUGGGCGCAAGCCUGAUCUAGCCAUGCCGCGUGAGUGAUGAAGGCCUUAGGGUCGUAAAGCUCUUUCGCCUGUGAUGAUAAUGACAGUAGCAGGUAAAGAAACCCCGGCUAACUCCGUGCCAGCAGCCGCGGUAAUACGGAGGGGGUUAGCGUUGUUCGGAAUUACUGGGCGUAAAGCGCACGUAGGCGGAUUGGAAAGUUGGGGGUGAAAUCCCGGGGCUCAACCCCGGAACUGCCUCCAAAACUAUCAGUCUAGAGUUCGAGAGAGGUGAGUGGAAUUCCAAGUGUAGAGGUGAAAUUCGUAGAUAUUUGGAGGAACACCAGUGGCGAAGGCGGCUCACUGGCUCGAUACUGACGCUGAGGUGCGAAAGUGUGGGGAGCAAACAGGAUUAGAUACCCUGGUAGUCCACACCGUAAACGAUGAAUGCCAGUCGUCGGGCAGUAUACUGUUCGGUGACACACCUAACGGAUUAAGCAUUCCGCCUGGGGAGUACGGUCGCAAGAUUAAAACUCAAAGGAAUUGAC